UGAGCCUGCCACCUGACUCUAGAACUAAUGGAAUAUAAUGUGGAUGCAAAGAUUAAAAAUAUGAACAGAAACAAAUGUGUGGCUGACAUUUUUUAUCCCCAGAAGACGUGCUGAGAGUUAAUCUCUCUUUCUCAAAGCUGGCAUUGUUCAAAUAGUUCUUUAUAAAAACGAAGAUAAUGAAAGUUCAUAACCUUUGCACAAAAAUUCCACACCUAAAUACCUGAACCUCACUUCGCCUGUUUAAUUGUUUGAUUUAAUUAUCUUGACGCAUCAAGAAGAUGCCAGCGUUAAKCAUCUUAUUUGUGCAAAUAACUAAAUUAAACUCCAACAAGCCAAACGUUGUCGAGAAAGCGAUUACCAGACAUUCCUGUGGUGAGUAACUGCAUUGAAACAAGUAUGAUUUUUGUGUGCAGGGUCAUCCGUGUGAUUUGUGGCUGUUGUGGUCAGUCAUGUCAUCAGUCAAACCUGACAUCCUACCGAGGCGACUGGUAUGUCUCACUCACACGUUGCUGCGGGACGGGCCAGUAAAAACUUGCAAGGACUCCAAACAAUCGCCACGACAUCACGUUUACUCCUUUUUGGAUUUCGUUCAAAUUAACUGAUCAAACAAGAACCAGCAGUUUGUGACUACUUUAACAUGUGCRGAGCCUGUGAGGGAAAACCAUCGACUGACAAUCAGGGAGUGAAAAGAUCUCCUCUGAUUCUGUUUUCCCCCCGAGGACCCGCAAGUUGAUCUUCACAGCAGAUCUGUAUGAAUUCCACAUUCUGUGAAUGACAUCAUGCAAAGAUUCCUCAACAUGUUGCAUCCAGCAUCAACAAGCUUUGGAUGAGGAAUUGACGCAGGUAACUGAUGCAACGCGUAGAAGCAGAUGAGCUUUGGCAACAAAUGAGAACCGUGCUGAUAAAAUGAGUCACGAGUUCAGUCCAGACAAAUAUCUGCUCCGAUGAUGACUCCUGCGGGGGACAGGAUGACAAGAGAGAGAACAAAAGAGACAGGGACUGAAUGAGCAUCAUGUCACUCACAAAGGAAAGCACCUUUAACGGAAGGAAAAGCCCCUCCUCUGUUCUUUCAGCCCGCACACCUUUUGCGGACGGCCUUUUCUCGUAGCCCACCUUAGGAAAACAUCCGUGCCCCCACACGAAGCUGAGCCGGGUGUUUCUUUCUGUCUUUAAUCUUUGUGAAAGGAGCUUUUAAAACAAGGCCGGGGAGGAUGAGUGGAUCUCAGAGCAGAACAAAAGGCGGGGAGGAACUCUGAGGGAUGGCAGCCGAGUGGAAGGCACUGUGAUUUAUCACCUGUUGCCCUCGGGUGCUCUGCCACUCCACACCCUGGGCUUUUUUUUCUUCUUUGUUUUGUUUUUGUGUGUGUAUGUGUGUCCAUGCAUGAAUGAACAUAGGAAGAAAAAGAACACAUUUAUUACUCUGUGUUAGUCAGUCCUUCACCCCACGCAAACCCACACACAAAAAAACUUUUUUACACAUGACACAAAUUUAUUUAGACAUUGAGAUAAUUUUGAAUCAAGGAAACAAGAUUAUCAGAUUUUAGAAUCUCUGGUCCAAAAAUAGAAUAAUUGUGCAAUUUCACAGAGAACAGAAACAAUAAAAAAACAUCAAUUUGUGGACUAUGUGGAGGUUAAAGUCAGUCAAUCAGUGUAGUUUGCUGCUUCUUAAAAAAAACAUUCAUUACCUUUGUCUGCCACCUUGUGGCUUAGUGUUGCUUUCACAGAUACCCACACUUUUAAACCAGUGAAAGUGAAAACAUGGCUGAUGUGUUCAGAUUUGUAGUGAUUUGUCUCUACCUUGGAUUGUUUGUCUUCAUUUUGAAACGUUCAAAGUUCAUUUUAAUUACUUUGUAGGUCUUUGUUUUUUGGCUUUUUGUUUC